CUAGCGGCAGGCUUUACACAUGCAAGUCGAGGGGUAACAGGAGUAGCUUGCUACUUGCUGACGACCGGCGCACGGGUGCGUAACGCGUAUACAAUCUACCUUAUACUGGGGAAUAGCCUUUGGAAACGAAGAUUAAUGCCCCAUAGUAUUAUUGAAUGGCAUCGUUUAAUAAUUAAAACUCCGGUGGUAUAAGAUGAGUAUGCGUUCUAUUAGUUAGUUGGUAAGGUAACGGCUUACCAAGACAUCGAUAGAUAGGGGUCCUGAGAGGGAGAUCCCCCACACUGGUACUGAGACACGGACCAGACUCCUACGGGAGGCAGCAGUGAGGAAUAUUGGACAAUGGGCGCAAGCCUGAUCCAGCCAUGCCGCGUGCAGGAAGACUGCCCUAUGGGUUGUAAACUGCUUUUAUAUGGGAAGAAUAAGGGGUACGUGUACUCUGAUGACGGUACCAUAAGAAUAAGCACCGGCUAACUCCGUGCCAGCAGCCGCGGUAAUACGGAGGGUGCAAGCGUUAUCCGGAAUCAUUGGGUUUAAAGGGUCCGUAGGCGGGCAUAUAAGUCAGUGGUGAAAUGCUGUGGCUCAACCAUAGCACUGCCAUUGAUACUGUAUGUCUUGAAUUAUUGUGAAGUGGUUAGAAUAUGUAGUGUAGCGGUGAAAUGCUUAGAUAUUACAUAGAAUACCGAUUGCGAAGGCAGAUCACUAACAAUAUAUUGACGCUGAUGGACGAAAGCGUAGGUAGCGAACAGGAUUAGAUACCCUGGUAGUCUACGCCGUAAACGAUGGAUACUAGUUGUUUGGCUUUCGGGCUGAGUGACUAAGCGAAAGUGAUAAGUAUCCCACCUGGGGAGUACGUUCGCAAGAAUGAAACUCAA
rnacentral:rRNA from 1 species